rnacentral:rRNA from 1 species
UAGGGAAUCUUCGGCAAUGGACGAAAGUCUGACCGAGCAACGCCGCGUGAGUGAAGAAGGUUUUCGGAUCGUAAAACUCUGUUGUUAGAGAAGAACAAGGACGUUAGUAACUGAACGUCCCCUGACGGUAUCUAACCAGAAAGCCACGGCUAACUACGUGCCAGCAGCCGCGGUAAUACGUAGGUGGCAAGCGUUGUCCGGAUUUAUUGGGCGUAAAGCGAGCGCAGGCGGUUUCUUAAGUCUGAUGUGAAAGCCCCCGGCUCAACCGGGGAGGGUCAUUGGAAACUGGGAGACUUGAGUGCAGAAGAGGAGAGUGGAAUUCCAUGUGUAGCGGUGAAAUGCGUAGAGAUCUGGAGGAAUACCGGUGGCGGAGGCGGCCCCCUGGACAAAGACUGACGCUCAGGUGCGAAAGCGUGGGGAGCAAACAGG